rnacentral:misc_RNA from 1 species
CUAUGCUCGGAGGAGGUAUUCGUAUCUCCUGUUAGAAUUUCGUUGCUUGUGCACCGUACCUCAUUGUCGGCAUCAGCAUUGUCCAAAAGUAAGUCCAGUUGUCCCAGUUUUCGUGUCUCGGUUCUCAUGUUUCCUUGACACGGGGCUGGCAUGGAAUUAUCGAUUGCGCUCGCUCAUCGACUACUAACGUUGUCGUGGGCGUGGCGUUAUCGAUGUUCGAUCUCUCGUGCGCGGAAAGCCCAUCGGCGCGGUGGUUCAUUGAACCCCGCUAAAUAGACCCUCGAUGAAAAUUCGUCCGAUGCAAUCUUGAGCGACCAUCGUGCCUGCGAAUGUGCUUGCCGCCGAGAGGUGGCAGCGCAUGCGGUGCCGAUGUCGUAAUGGAACGCUACCUGGUUGAUCCUGCCAGUAGUCAUAUGCUUGUCUCAAAGAUUAAGCC